rnacentral:rRNA from 1 species
GUCUAUAGCCAUACCACCCUGAAUCAUGCUUGAUCUCAAAAACUAAGCAGGGUUGGGUCUGGUUAGUACUUGGAUAGGAGAAAAUGAUGUGUCAAUU